AUGCACAAUAGGGAUAUUGUACACGUUCUGGGGAUUUUGUUCCCCGCGUACAAGGGGGUCGAUAUGAUGCCACAUUUGGGCAGAGCUGAAAACGAGGUGCUGCUGCACCGUCCUGGGCACCAGGCUGGGGUGAGGUGGAGAAAGGGGCAUAAUUUGCUCCAAAUCCACCACCUCCUAAGUAUCAGCCUGUUUUUCUUCACUUCUAUCCUUUCCUGCUUGCUCUUUAAUCAUUCCCAAGGGUGGCUGGCUUUCUGCCUGACUUGUCUCCAUUAUACCCUGCUGCAAUCAAUAUGGCAAGCAGAAAUCAGCAGGAGAAGGCAUGUUCUGCUCUCAGUGAGAGCCGGUGGGAGGGAAGGAGAUCAGGCCAGCCAGCUGCAACCCCAGCCCAGCAGGCAAACCGAAAUCCAGCCGAAAAACCCUCCGCCAGACGCUCAGGUCUGGUUUCCUUCAUGGUGCCCCCUGCCCGGCAGCGAAGAGCAGGGGUGGAAAGAAGAAGGAGAUGGGUCCUUCUACAACAGAAACCUGCAGGACUGAGGAACCCAAACUUUCACCCUGUGCAGGACCGUUACAUAUGGACAUUGCUUGGAGUUUGAUAGUACCCACACUGGUUCAGGUCUCCAAGGUUGGCCAUGCUAAAUUAAAGGCAGCUGCUGCCACUCCUGAAUAUCUCUGGCCAUAGGAUUUUUGUUUUCAAGGCCCAAAUUUCUUUAAAAAUAAGAUCAAAAACAUGCAGGAGUGCCGAGGAACAUCACCCAGACAAUGCUAUCUGCCCAUGGCUUGAUUUUACAGCAUACACAUCUGAUAUCUCCCUCCAUGAAUUUUGACUUGGUGAAUUUCUUCCCUUCCCUUAAUUUCUAAGCCUGAAAGGUUUCCCUUUUUUGGGGUGUCCAUUCCUACAAUCCACUGACUGCAGCUAAACUGUAGCAGCAAGCAGUUCUUUCCUGUCUCCUGCCCUUCCAUCCACCCUUCUGGUCUUUCAGUCAUAAGCACUUUGGGUCGAGCACUGUUUUUUGCAUCUACUUGAUCCAUGGGUGGUGUGCUCUGAGGCGGCUCCGAGUGCUUCUGCAAUACCUGAUGCACAAACAGCAUCUCAGUUGCCCGAGCAGUUGCUGAGAUGUCUGUGAGAUGCCCAUGCUCAGAUUUGCGUCUGGGAUCAUAAGGUUGAACUGAACAUCCCACAUGGCUGAUGUUCUUCAGCUGUCUGAAUGUGGGGUCUAUGUGGUGGGCUCCUUGCACCAGCAAUUGGCUCCUCCAGGGAGUUUGCCAGUUAGGAAAUGUUCUAUUUUAAACGGGGAGGUGCACGAGGAGUUGGAAACUGGGGACCACAUGGCUGAUGUCAUCCAUUUAUGGAGUCCUGUUAGGAAGCUCCACAAUUUUUUUUCAGGCUUUCCCAAUCAUUUCCAGCAGUCCUGCCUGGGUAGGACUUCUCUGUACAGCUAAAUUACACCUAUUUCAGCGUUCAGCCUUUCAGUCUCUGAAGGAAGGCAAUGAAUAAAACCCAGCAUAAUUAUUAUCUUUGCCUUCCU
rnacentral:lncRNA from 1 species